UACGGAGGGUGCAAGCGUUAAUCGGAAUUACUGGGCGUAAAGCGCGCGUAGGCGGUUUGGUCAGUCAGAUGUGAAAGCCCCGGGCUUAACCUGGGAAUUGCAUUUGAUACUGCCAGGCUAGAGUACAGUAGAGGGGGGUAGAAUUCCGGGUGUAGCGGUGAAAUGCGUAGAUAUCCGGAGGAAUACCAGUGGCGAAGGCGGCCCCCUGGACUGAUACUGACGCUGAGGUGCGAAAGCGUGGGGAGCAAACAGG
rnacentral:rRNA from 1 species